UAAAUGUAUUCAUGGGAUACAGUGGAAGAAAUGCAUUAAACAGUAGAAAUGACUGCCUCUAACCAGAUCAUCCCUUCCAGACAAAUUGGAAGCAGCUGGUGAAGGGGAGACUUCCAGGGGAAUGGACAGAAAUAAGAACCAGCCCUCCUUGCCCAGCUCAGGAACAGCAGGGAAUGGGAAGAGGACAAUCAGGAUACCUGGAGCUGGGCUGUGCAUGUGGGCAUUGCCCAUUGGGAAAUAGCAGAGCUCUGCAGAACUGGCAUCUGCCAGAAGGAUUUGUUCCAUCCCUGAAUACCUGCACCGCUGGCUCCC
rnacentral:lncRNA from 12 species